UCCCAAAUGGCUCGGUGGUAAAGAAUCUGCCUGCAAUGCAGGAGAUGCGGGUUCGAUCCCUGGGUUGGGAA
rnacentral:tRNA from 1 species